GCCCAGUCCCUGUCUGGACACUGGCACUAUAUAAGCCGAGGAGGCCGGUCCGAAGGCACGCGGCCCAUGGAGGAACUGUCGGCACACAGCGAGCGAGACUCACACAUCUGUUUGCCUUGAGAGGUUUUCAACUAGCAGCGAAGACUCCCCCAUUCCUUCCUGUUUUUAGCAGUGCUUAAGAUUUCACCUCUGUUGCCAAGAUGGCUCAAACCAACCCACAACAGGCACAGUUUGGUCCC